AUACAAUUUCACUCUUGCCCCCACAACCAAAUUUGCCUUUUCUGUUGAUCUAGACAAUCAGAAUAAGUUGCUGAAACAUGUUUAUCUGAGUGAACAAAUAAUGCUGUAGUCCUUUAUACACGGGUCGGAAAGUGAUCCCCUAAAGGUGUAUCAUGUAUAUGUAUAUGUGCAAUUAUAUGUGGAGUUGAUUCUAAUUAGUUAGAGAGAGAUGUUCAUCUACUGAAGUUCCUCUAAGAUCACAACAGUUACUACAUAGGAUGCAAAAAACCAUCUGCAAUUGACAGGUGCUGAGUAACAUGAGAUGUAUGUUGAGUUUCGCAGAAUAUAUAAUAGGUAAAUUUUCGAUUUCUUUCUUCUUCUGAGAAUGGUUUGGGACGUCUCGUUUCUGGUUCUUUUUUCGGAACAUAUGCAUAGCAUGUUUGUUUCCUGUGAUUUUUUGUAAAUUUUGUAAAACUGUUGUAACUUUAUUCUUGUAAAAAAAACUCUCAUUAAUUUUUCAAUCAAUUUUUAUGUCU